rnacentral:lncRNA from 1 species
AUUGCAGUGGCUGUUGUGUCAGUGAAGAAUCAAAGGUAUUUUUUAAAUGUGCGGUUUGCGAUUUCAAGCUGGGUAUGAAAUGUGCUACACUGCCAUACAAAGCAAGACACGAGUAUGAUGACCAUCCUCUCUUCCUCACCUAUAUUAAUGAAAAUGACUACCAACCUUCCUGUAUAAUUUGUGAAGAAGAUAGAGACCCAAAGCUCUGGUUCUACCGUUGUGAGGAAUGCGACUUCGAUGCUCAUCCAGAAUGUGCUCUCGGGAAAUACCCAUUUUUCAAGCCAGGGGGUGUUCUAACAUAUCCUAAACACCCUCACCCUCUUGCUUUGGUCAUCAAGACAGAGGAUUAUCGUCCGCAGGCAUGCGAUACUUGUGGUGAGCCUUGCGAUGACUUGGCCCUUGAAUGUACUGAUCCUAACUGCAGUUUUAUCGUCCACAGGAAAAGAAGGCAAUGCUCUAACUCAUUAUGGUAAUUGGAUGGCAGUUGUUGGCUUUUUUCUUAUUUUUGGGUUAUGAUUGUUGGCAGUUGCCAGACAGAGGAUUAUUAUCUCUGUUUCUAUUUUCGCGUAUGAGAUCACUUUUUUGUUUCUCUGUUUUGUUCUGAACAAUAAAAGAUGCUAUUUUAUUAAAACUGUCCUUGAAGGUAGUUUGUUGUUUCUUUGAGCCUUAGUAAGUGACAAAGAUGUCCAUAAAUUCUGCUUUUACAUUUUUGUUAUAGAUUUUAUUGUAAAUGCAUAAAAAUAUUGGCAUAUAAAAGAACACUUAUCUAACUGAUAUCAAUUAUUUUCAUUCAAAUAUUUAAUUUUUAUUUCCUUAACAUAAUCUAAUAUUAAAUAAAUAUAUAUUAAAUAAUAUUUAAAACGAACACCUCCGGGGCAUUCGAUAGCCUUUUCCUUUAAGAUAUAUAAUGAAAACGUUUAGAAACUGAUUGAUUUUUAAUUUAGACAAAAAGCUCUUUCUAGCUCAAACCCAAUUUAAUUAUUUUUCAGGCUAAUUAAUGGAUAGUCCAGAAAAAAUAAUUAAUGCUUUUUGAAACUUCUACUGCAUUUUUUUUUAGCGGCAAAAACAAAUUAUUGAGUAAAAUCACUAUAUUAAAAUCAUAAUAUAAUUUGUUGUUUCUUUGUGCCUUCGUAGUGACAGAGAUGUCUGACCAUUUUUCUUAGCUUAGCAGGAAGCUCUCCAUAAAUUCUGCUUUUACAUUUUUGAUAUAGAUUUUAUUGUAAAUGCAUAGAAAUACUGUCAUAUCAAUUAUUUUCAUUCAAAUAUAAAAUAACACUUAUCUAACUGAUAUCAAUUAUUUUCAUUCAAAUAUUUAAUUUUUAUUUCCUUAAACACAAUCUAAUAAUAAAUAAAUGUAUUUAAAUAAUAUUUAAAACGCAUACCUCAAAGGCAUUCGAUAGCUUUGUCCUUUAAUAAGAUAUAUCAUGAAAAAGUAAGUUAAUUCAUGUUUUUGGUAUUUUUUCUUUUAAGAAGAAUAAGAACAAGUAUCGAUCUUCUUUAUCUAAUUUCUAAACCACGAAAGAAUAAGAACAAGCCAUUUCGAUCGAUCAUUUGGUUUUCCAUUUGCUAAGACAUGAUAAUCCCCCGGGGAGGAGAUAAUUAUGCUGGAAUUGACUUUGAUGUUACAACAAAAAGCUUGGCCAACAUUUCAAGUAUUAAAAUAAAAAUAUAAAAAAUCACCUGAGUCAACUCGAGUUAACCUAUUAAGUUAUUUAUAAAUCAUGAAUCGUGAUAACCUAAUAAAAAAAACUGAAAAAAAUCAUGAUGUCCAACUCAAUAUUAAAAAAUUAAAUUGAAGAAAAAAAUCAGUUAAGAAAAUAAAAUUAAAAAAAAACUUGAAUCAAUAGGGUUAACCACCCAAACUUAUGAUUUGAAUUAUAAGGCUCGGACAACAUAAUAAAAAAUAAAUUCAAUGUCAAAAAUGAAAUUGCAAAAAAAAAAUAGAGAAGCAUUUAUUAAAAAAAUAAAAUGAAAAAAAGAAAGAAAAAAAAAGCACUAUGAAAAAAGAAAAAAAAAGGCACUAAAGUGCUUUGUUUAGAUGCCACAGGUACUUUGCCUUAAUUUUUUCGGAGUUGAUCAAUGGAUUAACCAAGAAAUAGAUUUUACUUCUAACAUUCUCUGAAGAAAAUCUUUGUUUAACUUUCUUAAUACAUUUUACUGUAAGAAACAAGGAGAAAGGAAAAAGAAAAAGGACAAACGAGAAAUUACUUGGUUGAGAUAACCAAGAAAUAGGUUUAUCAACGGAAGGACCUAAUUUUCUGUUCCAGAUAAACUUGAUGAAUCCGCUGUUUCGUAUUUUAAUUAGUGCUUGUUUGAAAGUGUAGUUGCAGUUUUUUUUAAAAGUGUUUUUUAUGCUGAAAUAUAUGAAAAUAAUAUUUUUUUUAUUUUUUAAAAAUUAUUUUUGAGAUCAGUGCAUUAAAACGAUCCAAAACAUACAAAAAAAUUAAUUUUUAAUAAAAAAAUUUGAAUUUUGGUAUAACAUGGUUUAUACCGCGUUCAUCCAAACCACGUAUAAAAUAACAUCAUGUAUAAAACAUUAAUUCAAAAUAAAAAAAAUAUUGUUUUAAAAACAUUUUUAAAACAACAAACAAAUUAUAAGUUCUGAGUUUGAAUUAAAAAUACUUCUAUUUGAUAUGGUCAUUUCAAAAUAUUUUUUUUUUAUUUUUACAAAAAAAUCAAUUUUGUUGUUAGAGAAAAACAAAAAUCAAGGGGUCAAAAUUAAAAGUUUGGUGAAGUAGUAGCCUUUUUAAGAAAACAUAAGUGUCACAGCCUUUUAAACUUAAAAUUUGGUCAAAUAUUAGUUUUGAUCCCUUCGGCUUGGAAAUUAUACUAUUUGGUUCAAAAUUUUAUUUUAUUUACAUUUAAGUCAAUAAAUUUAAAAGAAAAGGGUAAAAGUUGCUAGAUUACAACGAAUGAGAGAGAAUUAUUAUUAAUCACAUUCUAACAAUCAAAAAAAAUCAUUCUUGAUAUUAAUGAAUUCUAUUUCAAAAAAAGAAUUUCAUUAAUGUAUUUUUUGCCCAAUGAACUUUUUUUAAACCCAAACAAAUAUUGAGUUUUUAUUAAGUUAUUCAAUAAGAGUUGGUACAUAUAACAUUAUGUGCAAUUUGCUUAAAUAUUUUAGUUAAUUCAAAUGAAAUAUCAUAAUAUUAGUUAAUUAUGUAAUUGUUCACAUUUCAAGGUUAUUAAGAGUUAAACCGUUUGAUUUUAAAAAUUAAAAAAAAAGUGUUUUAAAAUUAAGUGUUUCCUUUUUUUUCUCCUUAAUGUUUUUUGGUUACUUAAUUUUUUUUUUCAAUUUGAUCUUUACAUAUUUAUUAAAUUUAGAAUUAAGCUUCAUGAUAUAUUUCAUGCUCUUUUCUUUCGAGUUUUCAUGGUCUUUUAAAACAUCAUGGCAUUGAGUUUGUUUUUAAUUUUACAAAGAAGAAUUCAAUUUGAUUGUUUACAAAGAAUUAAAAAUGAGAGGAUAAAAAUUGAAAAUUAGGUGAAAUGGUAGCUCUUUAGAUGAUAUUUUCACUUCUCAGUGCUUAAUUUCUUGUUUUUUUUAGUUCGGUCAUCGAGCUUUGUUUUUUUUCAAAUUUACCCUUUCACAUUGCAUUGAUUGAUGAUUUGGUUCGUAUUGCUUCUUUCAGUUUAUCAUAAUCUCCAAAAAACUACCACCACAUUAGGUUGGUUCUCUAUUUUACAAAAAACAAAAAAUCAAUUUUUUUGUUAGAGAAAAACAAAAAUUGAGGGGAUCAAAAUUAAAAGCUUGGUGAAAUGAUAACCUUUUUAAAAAACAAUGGGUGUUAAAGUCUUUUAGACUUAAAAUUUAGUUCAAUAUUAGUUUUGGUCCCUUCAGCUUGAAAUUAUACUAUUUGGUUCAAGAUUUUAUUUUAUUUACAUUCCAAUUCUUAAAUCUAAAAGAAGACAAUAAAAGUUAUUGUUAACCAUAAUUUAGCAACCGAAACAAGUUGUUCUUGAAGUUAAUGGGUUCUAUUUCAAGAUAAGAAUUCCUCAUCAGAUUUCAAGAUAAUGGGUUGUUUAGAGUAGGUUUGUUUUCAUGUUUUAAAAAUAUUUUAAAAAAAAUUUAAUUUUUUUUGUUUUAUAUUAAUUUUUUUGUGUUUUUAAAUCAUUUUAACGUGCUAAUGUCAAAAAAAAAAAUUAAAAAAAAAAUAUUAUUUCGAUAAAUUAUUUAAGUGAAAAACACUUUGAAAAACAAUUCCCACCACAAUACAAAAAAAAACUCUUAUUAGUUGAAACUAAAUUAUUGGUAGCGCUAAAUUUUAUCUAAAUUUCUUUUAACAUAAAAAAAAUAUUCAGAUGUUGUUAAUGAUUUUUUUCUAAUGAAAAAAAAAUUAAUGCAAGAGUUGAUUUGAUGUGACUUGGUAUAUUUGACAGGUCUAAAAACAAUCCAAAUGACCAGUAAAAACAUAAUUUAACUAAAAAAUUAAUAUAAUAUUUUUUUUAAUAUUAAAAAGAGAAGUUAUUGAAUCGACUUGAAUCAAUGUAGGUUAACAUAUCAAAUUCAUUACCUGAGUUAUGAGAGCAGUAGGAAGUUUGAAUAAGAAGUGCACCUAUUUGAUAGGUCACCUCAUUUGAUGAACAGUGGUCAUUUCAAUCACAAGUUUUGCCUACUCCUCGAGGCACGAACACAUAACCUCCAAAAACAAAUCACUAAUUAAUGUGUGAUACAUAAACAAAGAAAAAUAAAUUACUUGAUUUGCUGCUGUAAAGAUAUUAAACUUACAUACACCCAUAUUAUUUUAUAUUAAAUAAAUAAAAUUAAUAAAAUUUAAACUUUUGAUUAUUCAAGACUCUAGUAUUAUAUAAAAAAUUAUUUUAAUUCAGUAACUUAAAUUAUUAAUUAAAGAGGAAAUGAGAAAUUGGUCCGUGCCCACCAUUCCAGAAUACAAUAGACAUCCAGCUCACAUGAUUACUUUUACAUGGAUAAUCAGUCAAGACAUGACCCUGGGGCUCUCAUGAUUUCACGUGAACAACAACAUUUUCUCAUUGGCAAAGGUUUUCACAAUGAUGCUGACUUGAAGACGUGACAAAUGCCUUUUUUUUUUUUUUUUUAUCUGAGAUUUUAAAAUAUAAUUUAUAUUAUUUUUUAAUAAAUAUAAUUUAAGGUAUAAUUAUCAAACCUAUUCUAGCCGGUAAGUCGACUUAAAGUCUAGCCACCCAGGCUUGAUUUCUUUUUGAACCAAUAAAUCAACCUUUAACCUGGUUACUGUAUCAAACUUGAGUGAGAUUUAAUCAGGUUAUUUCCAAGGAAUUUUACAAAAAAUUAUCUCGAUGUUUUGUUUUCAAAAAACCACUAAAAUGAUAUCGUUUUGAAACUAACCACUCUGUUACUGGGGACUUUAUUCGGGUAUGAUAAAGUUCAACAAGAUUUCCUGCUUUAUAUAGUUAUUUGAGACUCUUUUGUGUGAGAAUCCAUGGAGUUUUCAUCUGUUCUUUACAUUUGUUUUGUAUCUGUUUCAUUAUCAGUAUCAUCAAAUAAUUUGUUGAGUCUGACAGAUAGAAAUUAUCCCAGUUCAUUCACAGGAUGAAGACUGGCGAAGAAUCAAGCGAGAAAAAUGAUAAGGGAGAUCAAGUUUGCGGGUUAGCAGCAAAUGUGAAAAAGAAUUUGGAAACCUUAGGUCCAAAUCCUUUAUCGGAAGAGUGUUGUAUCUAUAAAGUUCCAAAGCGACUGCAAGUGUUAAACGACAAGGCCUACACACCUCAAGUAGUCUCCAUUGGUCCAUUUUUAUGUAAUACUAUUUAACUUACUUGAUUUGCUGCUGUAAAGAUAUUAACUUAUCAGUAACCCUUCUUUUUUGUUCUAAGUUCUGUAUAUAUCACAUUUCUUGAUUUGUAGAGAACAAAAACAUAAUUAACCUCGACUUCAUUAAUAAUUAUAUAUCUAAUACAUUUUAUAAAUAACUACAAAAUUAUACAAAAAAAACUAGAAGUCAUAUGUUAAUCACUAUAUGGCUUGUGAGAGGAUUUGUUUUGGAUUGCAAAGUGUUUCUUUCUAUUUUUCAUUAAAUUUUUUUCAGUUACUUAUUUUUUUUCAAUUUAACUUUUACACAUUUAAUUAAUUUAAGUAAAAAACACUUUAAAAAACAAUUAAAAAAAAUUAUUCUUGAUGUUAAUAAGUACCAUUUCAAGAUAAAAAUUUUAUUACUGUAUGUUUUGCUCCUCAUCUUACUAGAAAAAGUAAAUUCUUUAGGGAUUUUUUUUUGAACCGGAACAAAUUUUGAAUUAUUUAAUCAAUUAAACAUUGUUUAGAGGUUAUGUUUACGAGGUGUUUAUAAGUGUUUUUAAGUGAAAGAAAUGAUUGAAAUGUUGUUUUGUGUUCAAAGAGAGGGGAGCAAUUUUCUAGUGACUUCCAGCCUCUAGAGUUUCUCGACGAUGAAACAAAUAGGUGGCGUGUUUUUAAUUUGUCACUACAAAAAACAUAUUGGAUUAAUUAGAAAAAAAAAAAAAUGUGUUGAUUGACGUGCUAGGCCUCCUGGAUCAGUGCUUAACCAUUUUUUGCCCUUUUAAGUCUAUUUAAUGUAGAAUUAGAUAACUAAAUAUAUAUAUAUAUAUAUAUAUAUAUAUAUAUAUAUAUAUAUAUUUAUUAAUUUAUUAAAUUAAUACAAAAUAUAUUAAAGGUGUUUUUUUUAAUUAACAUUAAAAUUUUAGUUUUAGUUUGAAUAAUGUUAUAGUUGUCUUUUUAAAAUUUUGACAACCAUUAUUUUUUAACAAACAAUUAUUAUUUUUAGUUUCUCCAACAUUUUUUUUUCGAAAUGCAUUCAAUGAUUACCUUAUGAUUUAUAAUACUAUAAAUUUGACUUGACAUGUUUUAAACAAUAAAUAGUUAAAUUUUUAUUUUUAUUAUAUAUAAUUGAUGCCAUUUUUAUUUUAAUUUAAUAAUUUGUGGGUAAUAAACAUGAAAAAUAUGAUAUGAAAUAACAUGAGAGGAUCAAUAUGAAUAUUUGAAUUAAGAUCCUAACUCCACUCAAGAUAGCUCCUCUAAGACUAAUAGUUUCUAAUACUAUUCUUCAUUUUCAUCUUUUGUUUUGUAUUCAUUGUUAAAUUAUUAUAUGGACAUGAUCCAUUUUCAUCUGAAUUUAAUGAACAUGAUGAAAUGUGAUAUAUAAGAGAAUGUGUUUUCAUUUUUUUUUUAUAUCUCUAAUUAUAUAAUUUAAUUCCAAGAUAAAUGAUCUUCUCUAACAUGUCCUGUCUAUGUUUUCCAUUCAAAUUAACAGAAAAGCCACACGACCUUCACAAAUGUAUUUUGAUAUAUAAAAAUAUCACUUACUCUAUAUAUAUAUGAUAAGUAGCUCAUUAUUUCUUAUAUCUCAAAGAUUGUUUCUAAUAAGUCUUUAUAAGUGUAAUUAUAUCAGUUAUAUCUUUAAUUUUUAGUUAAGUUAUUCAAUAAGAGGCUGUGCAAUUAUAUCAGUUAAAAAAAUAAGUGUAUUUUUAGAAAGUUACUUCUCAUUUCUUAUUUUCUUGAAAUAAAUUAGAUAAAAAUAAUUAAAAUAAAAGAGAUAAGAUAAAAUAUAAGACAAAGAAAAAGUUGUAUUUAAUAAUAAUAUAUAAGUUAGAGUAAUUGUCUUUAUACAAAUAAUAUAUGAAACCAUCCAAACUUAUUUGAAACAAUAAAUAAUUAAGUUAUUAUAUGAAUAUUAAUUGAUUUUAAAUAAUUAAGUUAUUUGAAACAAUAAUCAAUUAAAGGACAUGGGAGGAUGAGUAUGAAUUGAAUCCUAAUUAACUCCACUCUAAAACCAAUAGUUUCUAAUACUAUUUUUCAUUUCAAUCCUUUACCUUGUAUUUAUUGAUAAAUUAUUACAUGGACAUGAUCCAUUAACUAAGCAAUGGACCAAUCCAAUAGAAUAAAGACAUUUGUUUGCAUAAUUAAAACAACAAUAAUUCUAAGAACCUAUAAUUAAUCUGGAAAGAAAAUAGAAAGGAAACUCAUGAUCUUCCUCUACCUCUCUCUUUUCAUUAUAAAACCUAGAAAUCCAAAGGCAAUACUUUAUGUAAGGGAUGAUAAAGGAUGCUUAUGAGUCGGCUUUUCAAAAUGAAAUGGUAAUUUCUUCUACGAUUUUGCUUUAGAUAUAUUGAUUUACGAUUUUGAUAAUUAAAGUAUUUUACCAUACAAUUUUAAUGUUUAGAGGUGCUCUGAUGCACAAUAAUUAGAGUUAGUUUAUUUUUAUAUUUCGAACAGGCAAACGAGUAAUAUAGGAAGUUGAGGAAACCCAUCAAAAGUCAACGAGCCUUCUUCUCCAACAAGAAAAGACAGGGGAAAGUGUCUUCUUAUGCACAUACUUGAACAAUCUCACCCUCACAAAUAGAGGAGCCUGUAGCUUUCCUCGUGAUCUUCUACCCGCCUCUUCCUUACAGGUAACGCCCUUUCUUCCUUUUCGGGCUUCUUUGAAUUUUGGGCCCUUUGAGUUAUUUUUCGUUUCGGCUCUGUCCCAUAAUCUUUGAUAAAGGGGAAGAGGGAAGAGGUCAAAUUUCAGUUCAGAAGGUGAGGUAUUGAAUAAUGAAUACUAGCAGCACUCAACUUUUAUUUGCCUUUCCAUUUCGAUAACAUAUAUAUUCGGCAGCUUCAAUUUGGCCUGCCUAAGUCUUGUCUUGGCUCAACACCCCUCAUUUCCUGCUCUGUCCUCUAAGAGAGCCAGAGACAUGGAGAUUGAACAUUUUAGCCACCCAGAUCAUCCAUUGAUCCUCAUUAAUCAAGUUCUCGAAUAUAGUUGCGAACUAGUUAUUUGCUCUGGAUGCGAGGGACCGAUAUGGGGUCCUGGCUACAGUUGCACCUCUUGCUACUUCUUUCUUCAUAAGAAAUGCGCCGAGCUGCCCCGUGAGAUCAUGCGGUGCAUUCAUCCUAGACACCCUCUCCAUCUACUGCCAAAGUCACCAUAUAAAGGAGAAUACGGUUGUGAUCGCUGCCAAAAAACUUGCAAGAGUUUUGUUUACCAUUGUUCUGUCUGUGAAUUUGAUCUUGAUAUCAAAUGUGCUUUUCAACCGGGUUUUUUUGAAGUUGAUAGUCAGGCACAUCAAUUUGCCCACAAGGAUCAUCCAUUGAUUUUGAAUGAAGAGCAAGAAUAUCAUGGUGAAGGAGUACAGUGUUGUGUGUGCAAGGAACCAAUGUCUGGUCCUAGCUAUAGUUGCACUUCUUGCAACUUCUUUCUUCACAAGAAGUGUGCUGAGCUACCCCCAGAGAUCAAGCAGCAUUUGCAUCCAGAACACCCUCUUCGUCUACUGCCAAAUCAUGAUAUGAUCUGUGAUUUUUGCAACGAAACUUGCUAUGAGAGUUUUCUUUACUUUUGUAUUGUGUGUGAAUACAACCUCCAUAUCAAAUGUGCUUUUCCACCGUGCAUUGAUGCAGCUGAUCAGAAUCAAAGGCAUCAAUUUAGACGCCUAAUGAAUCCACUUUCAUUAAAAUCAAUCUCCUUCACUUGCAAUGCAUGUGGCACAGAUGGAGAUGACUCCCCAUUUUGGUGCACUAUGUGCCAACUCGUGGUCCACAAAAAAUGCAUUUCAUUGCCACGCACCCUUAAAACGGAACUGCACCAGCAUCCCCGAAUCAUCCACACCUAUCAUCCUCAAAAACGCAUCGAAUCUAUAAACAAGUACUGUGGAAUUUGCUGUCGGGAAGUUGACACAGAAUACGGAGUUUACUAUUGCCCGGACUGUGACUUUGUUGCACACGUGGAUUGUAGUGGAGAAUAUGGGGAUUCUGCAACAGAGAUUGUAGUAGAAAACGAAGAAGAGCAAAGUGUGACUGUUGAUGAUCAAUUCAAUGAACCUAGCUUUCGCGUUGUCCGUGAGAUCAAGCAUGGAGAGGAGAGAAUAAUUGAAGAGAUCGAACAUUUCAGUCAUCAACAUAACCUAAUCCUUACUGACAAGGUUGAUGAUGAUCUAAAGUGUGAUGGGUGCAUGUUACCAAUCUCCACUCCAUUUUAUAGCUGUGCCAGUUGUAAUUUCUUUCUUGACAAAACCUGCAUAGAAUUACCCAGGCGAAAAAAGUGGCAAUAUCACGAAAACCAACUGAUUCUUUCAUGGAGCCGAGGGCCACAUGAUCUGUUCUACUGUAAUGUGUGUAGGCAAUAUUUUCGUGGGCUCAGGUACAAAUGUGAUGUAUGUGCACUCUGGAUUGAUGUCCGAUGCUUCAAAUCAUUGGAAGAUUCCACUAAACAUGGAGGUCAUGAGCAUCCCCUUUAUCUUCCAGCGGACAGAAAGAAUAUACUCCGUUGUAAUAUUGGAGGUCGCGGGCUUCGCCCUUGGGUUGCAGCGGACGGAGAGAAUAUUCCCCAUUGCAGUGGCUGUUGUGUCAGUGAAGAAUCAAAGGUAUUUUUAAAAUGUGUGGUUUGCGAUUUCAAGCUCGGUAUGAAAUGUGCUACACUGCCAUAUAGAGCAAGACACGAGUAUGAUGACCAUCCUCUCUUCCUCACCUAUAUUAAUGCAAAUGACUACCAACCUUCCUGUAUAAUUUGUGAAGAAGAUAGAGACCCAAAGCUCUGGUUCUACCGUUGUGAGGAAUGCGACUUCGAUGCUCAUCCAGAAUGUGCUCUCGGGAAAUACCCAUAUGUCAAGCUUGGGG